UGGAGGCUGAAACCCGCCUCCAUGAAGUUGGAUUCGCUAGUAAUCGCGCAUCAGCCAUGGCGCGGUGAAUACGUUCCCGGGCCUUGUACACACCGCCCGUCAAGCCAUGGGAGCCGGGGGUGCCUGAAGUUCGUGACCGCAAGGAGCGACCUAGGGCAAAACUGGUGACUGGGGCUAAGUCGUAACAAGGUAUC
rnacentral:rRNA from 1 species